CAGCCGCCGCGGUAAUACGUAGGUGGCAAGCGUUGUCCGGAAUUAUUGGGCGUAAAGCGCGCGCAGGCGGUUUCUUAAGUCUGAUGUGAAAGCCCCCGGCUUAACUGGGGAGGGUCAUUGGAAACUGGGAGACUUAGAGUGCAGAAGAGGAGAGUGGAAUUCCAUGUGUAGCGGUGAAAUGCGUAGAGAUGUGGAGGAACACCAGUGGCGAAGGCGACUCUCUGGUCUGUAACUGACGCUGAGGAGCGAAAGCGUGGGGAGCGAACAGGAUUAGAUACCCCAGUAGUCCCUGUCUCUUAUA
rnacentral:rRNA from 1 species